UGCCAUGAUGAUAGUGUACUAACCCU
rnacentral:misc_RNA from 1 species